UUGGCUGAAUGUCAGCGAGUGGAAUGAAAUAAACACAUUAAGGGGAUAUUAGACCCAAUGUGACGAAUUAUGACAUUUCAAAUCAUAGUUUACAUUGUUUGUUUACCAUAUACUUUUUACCAUCAAUAUUUAAAUUGACGAGAACUUGAAAAGCGCGCCGUGAGUGUCCUAACCUUGAAGACAGUUAGACUUCCUGACUUAAAUGCAUGCGCACUACAUAAGCCAAUCAUACAACGUCCAUCUUGACUUUACAAAAUCCAGUCAUGACCUGUUUUAGAUGGGGAUAAUUGUUUGCUAUUAUUCCGUAGUGCGAGAGCUGCUCUUCUGCAGUGUGUUCUGCUACGCGCACGUAAACAGAGCAGACAGCAGUGUAACAUCGUCAGGGAUCGUGAACUAGAUCUUAGAGGUGUCUAUUUUAUCUAUUAUGCAAGAGGAUGGGCGAAUUAAAUUAUUCUGAUUUGAACUACCGUGGCAAUCACGAUAUGUCCUGGGAAGGUGCAGCUAAUUAUCCGUCAGUCUAACGCGGCCGCGAGUUUUUACGAGCCCUGGACAUACCAAACAAACAUCCCUUCGUCGAGGACAGUCCAUCUCACGACAAUGAUCAGGUGGUCAAACAUUAUAUAGGUCGAGCAAGUGGCAGAAGUUCAGAAGUUCCAACUGCAAACUCAGUUUGGCAAUGGUCAACCACCCUCUUCCCAGAGUAUCGCCUUUCCGGCUAACGUACACGUCAAUCAGAGUGAUUCAACAACAACAGCAACAACAGGGCAAUGGACAACCGCCUGCUUCCCAGAAUAUCACUUUCCCUGACAAUGUACAUGUCAAUCAGAGUAGACUGAUUCAACAUCAGCAUCAGCGAGGUAAUUUCAUCAGCUUGGCCCAGACUAACUCCAUGCUGACCCACGGCUUUAAUCUUACUCCUCCGAGUCAGCAACCCCAGCAGCAGCCGAUUGGUCAGAAUAUGACAUUAAACAUGCAGCAAAACCCUCUUGAUAUGCAUUCUCAAAAUUUGCAGAAAUGCAAGAUAUGAAAAUACAAGCUAUGUCAAUUUCCAUGUGCACAACUGGUAUAAUUUGUUAUCCUUUUGAAACUGUUAUACAACGGUUGCACCUGCAGGUUACACGAACUGGAUCUUAUCGGAUAUAAAAUACAAGCGAUAGGGUAUGAGAUUUACAAAGUACAUCUGCAAAUCUUGCUCUAUUAUCCAUUUCUACAUUUCAACGAGCUUUGAAAGAUCUCAAUCAAUCAAUAAGAGUAAGUGCUUUGAGAGUCCACUCUGAUACUAAUCAGGGUGCACAUGAUAAUUCUGAUUGUUUCUUGUUGUUCCAAUCGAAAUAAAUGACUGUCAAGACUUGCAAGAAUCUCUCCCUUAUUCUAUAAGUAGUAAUGCAAAACCAAACGUAUCAUUGACAGGAAUAGUUGGUUUUACGGAUACCAGAAGUAUUUUGCAAUCAUUUCAUGUACUGAAGUAUAUAACUGACAAUCAUUUAGAAGAUUACGACUAUUACUUUUUGGUAAAAGAUACUAGUUACAUUAAUGCCAGAAAAUUAAUUGAAAUUGUGAAUCAAAUUAGUGUAAGCCAAGAUGUGCAUCUUGGUAUUAGCAGUGAUGAUGACGCAUAUUGCUCUCUAGAUGGUGGUAUAAUACUGAGUAAUUCUGUAAUAAAAAAGUUAAAAAAUAAUUUAGAUUGGUGCGUAAAAACAACAUUCUCUUCUUCUGAUGAUGUUAACUUUGGGAGAUGCAUAUUACAUUCAGCAUCAGUCCCUUGUACACACAAAGCUCAAGAACAGAUAUAUUUUUCAACAAAGUUGAACGUUACAUUUGAUUAUUAAAAUGACUUCAAAAAAUUAUGCACCGAUGAGGACUUUCAGAAGUCCAUCACAAUAUAUCCUAUAUAUAAUCAUUUGGUGAUUUACAAGAUAAAUACUCAUUUUGCAGAAAUGGAACUUCUUAAAGUGGAAAAAGAAAUAGACAACUUGCGCAAAGAGAUAGUAAAAACCACAAGUUUUACUCCAAAAAAUCAACAAGAUCUUAGUUGGCCAAUUGGUAAUCAACCAGGAAGUAAUGCUAUGAAUCGAUUUGAUAUCUUAAUAUGGACAUAUUUUAAUAUGACUCAUGUAUUUCUUGAUAAUGACUUUGGCUAAUAGCAAUGUAACUAUAUUUUGCGUUUAAAAAUACCGAAAUUGAUGAUGAUUAUAUUCAUUAUCUGCAAAAUACAUUAUGUUGAAAAAAG
rnacentral:lncRNA from 12 species